UCCCAGAUAGUAUAAUGGUUAGUAUCUCCCCCUGUCAAACCUUGAUAGUUCGGGGAAGAUCGGGGUUCGAUUCCCCGUCUGGGAG
rfam:Spizellomyces punctatus DAOM BR117 chromosome Tnknown supercont1.5, whole genome shotgun sequence.